UGUAACUAAAAUAAGUUUUUUUUUAAAUUUUUUCUAUCGCAUUACGACGAUGGGAGAAAAUCUUGAUCCCACAAUAUAUAUAUUAAUUAUAACAUUUGCUGUUAUUGAUAUUAUAUUAAUUUGUGGCUUUGUUGCUCCAUUUCUCUACGAACCGUAUCCGUCUAUACUCAAGUGUAAGAAGCCCAAGGAAAGAUGGGUGUAUGCACCUGCCCAUUAGCGGCUAUGAUCGUACUGAUCGUACUCUGCGUUUUACUCGCAGUUACGAUUAUUGCCUUACACUUUGUUCGUAAGGAUGAAGAUAAAAAGACAACAACUCGAAGGCCUAGAGCUAUUGGUAUUGGGCUGUUUUCUUAAAUCAUAUUAAAUCAUAGACGUUGCGCGACUAGCAAUACCAAAUACUAAAGUAAAAACACAAAUAAAGUAAACAAAAUGUAUACCAAAUGCUUAUAUAACACAUUAAAUAAAAAAAGCUGAGUGCGUAAUAUGUGCAUCUGGCACCACUGUGCGCACUCGUUGCACAUUGAAGCAAAUAAUAUAA